rnacentral:rRNA from 2 species
GGACUACAAGGGUAUCUAAUCCUGUUUGCUCCCCUAGCUUUCGUGCCUCAGUGUCAGGAGUUGUCCAGGGACUCGCCUUCGCCACUGGUGUUCCACUUGAUAUCUACGCAUUUCACUGCUACACCAAGUAUUCCAGUCCCCCCUCCAACCCUCGAGCGGCGCAGUUUCCAAUGCCAUUUCGGAGUUGAGCUCCGAGCUUUCACAUCCGACUUACGCCACCACCUACGCACCCUUUACGCCCAGUGAAUCCGAACAACGCUUGGGACCUCUGUAUUACCGCGGCGGCUGGCAC